rnacentral:ncRNA from 1 species
CCGACGGGCCGUGACUGGCGCGCUGGGAUGGGACGGACCAUCGGGGAGCGGUCCUGGCGAGACCGUGUGCCGUGCGCCUGGGCCGAACCG